GCCGGCGUGAUGGAAUUGGUAGACGUGCUGGACUCAAAAUCCAGUGGUGGCAACACCGUAUCGGUUCGACCCCGAUCGCCGGCACCA
rnacentral:tRNA from 1 species